rnacentral:rRNA from 1 species
GUCUAUAGCCAUGCCAACCUGAAUGUGCCCAAUCUUGUCUGAUCUCAGAAGCUAAGCAGGGUUGGGCCUGGUUAGUACUUAGAUGGGAGACCACCUAGGAAGACCAGGUGCUGUAGGCG